ensembl:lncRNA
CCUCAUCAAAAGUCUUCUAGACUCAAUGUGGCAGUUUGUGGACGGCACCGGGCUGCACCUCAUCAACCACGACCACAUGUCUCGCGUGUGGGAGGUACAGCACUUUGCCUGCAUCCAGGAUCCACCAGGAGUGCAGCUUUAUACCAACAUUUGGUAAGGGCUGGAGAAAGGAGACAAAACGUUGAAUGUCCUAAGAUGCUGCAGAGGUUCCUCCUCUCUGGAAAGCUUCCAUAAGCACCAGUGUGCUUUCAUUCCAGGGUGGAGAUGCAAUGCAUUGCACACUCAAGAUGUACAUGCUUGAGGGUGUGUCAAGGUGGAAUUUGAACCGGUCAGCACAAGCACUUGGUAUGACUGAGACAUCCUGGACAAAGAUAUAUGACAUACGCUUGAUUUACAACGUGAAUGCGCUCAGCCACAAAGUCUUGGGAAAACCUCUUCUUCCAGAGUUUAUCCCCCCUGGGAAACCUACCGGAGAGCGUAUUGCUGUGUAUCUUCUCGCACAGUCCAACAGAGGAGAUCUUCUGAGACAGCAGGUUGGUGAUGAUGAUGAUUGAUGAUGAGGAUAAUGAUGGCAUCCUGCCAGAUAUCUUCGAUGAAACCUCGAGGAUGAAUGUACCGUCCUCAUGACCUCACAUUGCAGGAAAUUGGAAGCGGUGGCCCCAGGCCCAGGUCGGAUCCCCGGUCCCCAUUUGAGGAGAGUUAUGCCUCUGCAAGACCCGUCCACUCCCCAAUUGAGGAGAGAGAUGCCUCUUCAAGUCCCGUCCACUCCCCAACUGAUGAGAGAGAUGCCACUGCAAGUCCUGUCCACUCCCCAAUCGAUGUCCUCGCCUCAUUUGAAGAGAGUGGGCUCGUUACUCCAGCUCCGAUGACUAAGACAGGGAAGUCAGACAGCUACUGGAGGGACCUCUGCAUAAAAUAUGCCCAGGACCAAUACCGCUUCUCGACUGGCAAACGGCCAGGGGCCAAGAAAUGGAAAAAGGCCUUGGAGAGUAUCGAUGCCUGCCCCCUGCAGAGCCAUAGUGCUAGUAAGGAUCUGUUCGGGAGAAGCCUUCAGUGCUCCUGUGGGUUCCAAAAGGUUCACUAUGCAGGAUUCGUUAUGCCAUCAAUGCAAAAGCCAACAGUACUAACACCGAAGCCAACGCCAUCACCACCGAAGCCCACCCUAGAGAUCUCAGAGCAACACUGAUUGACCAGAGUAUUACAUCCCCUCCUCUUCUUUUUCUCAGGCACCCCCCCUAUUCAGAGGACAUGCAUUUCUGUUGCGCGAAGAUU